CAUACGGGAGGCAGCAGUUAGGAAUAUUGGACAAUGGGGGCAACCCUGAUCCAGCCAUGCCGCGUGUGUGAAGAAGGCCUUAGGGUUGUAAAGCACUUUCAGCUGUGAAGAUAAUGACAGUAGCAGAAGAAGAAGCUCCGGCUAAAUUCGUGCCAGCAGCCGCGGUAAUACGAAUGGAGCGAGCGUUGUUCGGAAUCACUGGGCGUAAAGGGUGCGCAGGCGGUCAUGAAAGUUAGAAGUGAAAUCCCAGGGCUUAACCCUGGAAUGGCUUUUAAAACUCCAUGACUAGAGUACUGGAGAGGUUGGCGGAAUUCCGAGUGUAGAGGUGAAAUUCGCAGAUAUUCGGAGGAACACCAAUGGCGUAGGCAGCCAACUGGACAGUAACUGACGCUCAUGCACGAAAGCGUGGGGAUCAAACAGGAUUAGAUACCCUGGUAGUCCACGCCCUAAACGAUGUGUGCUAGUUGUCGGGUUCUUAGAACUCGGUGACGCAGCUAACGCUUUAAGCACACCGCCUGGGGAGUACGGUCGCAAGAUUAAAACCUCAAAGGAAUUGACGG
rnacentral:rRNA from 1 species